rnacentral:rRNA from 1 species
AUUGAACGCUGGCGGCAGGCCUAACACAUGCAAGUCGAACGGUAACAGGAAGAAGCUUGCUUCUUUGCUGACGAGUGGCGGACGGGUGAGUAAUGUCUGGGAAACUCCCUGAUGGAGGGGGAUAACUACUGGAAACGGUAGCUAAUACCGCAUAACGUCGCAAGACCAAAGAGGGGGACCUUCGGGCCUCUUGCCAUCGGAUGUGCCCAGAUGGGAUUAGCUAGUAGGUGGGGUAACGGCUCACCUAGGCGACGAUCCCUAGCUGGUCUGAGAGGAUGACCAGCCACACUGGAACUGAGACACGGUCCAGACUCCUACGGGAGGCAGCAGUGGGGAAUAUUGCACAAUGGGCGCAAGCCUGAUGCAGCCAUGCCGCGUGUAUGAAGAAGGCCUUCGGGUUGUAAAGUACUUUCAGCGGGGAGGAAGGGAGUAAAGUUAAUACCUUGGCUCAUUGACGUUACCCGCAGAAGAAGCACCGGCUAACUCCGUG